rnacentral:rRNA from 1 species
UACGUAGGGUGCGAGCGUUAAUCGGAAUUACUGGGCGUAAAGCGUGCGCAGGCGGUUUUGUAAGUCUGUCGUGAAAUCCCCGGGCUCAACCUGGGAAUUGCGAUGGAGACUGCAAGGCUAGAAUCUGGCAGAGGGGGGGUAGAAUUCCACGUGUAGCAGUGAAAUGCGUAGAGAUGUGGAGGAACACCGAUGGCGAAGGCAGCCCCCUGGGUCAAGAUUGACGCUCAUGCACGAA